UUGAAAACUUAUUUUUAAAUAAAUGGAAAUUUUCCAUAAAUUCAACGCAAUUGACUUUUCGAUGGCGUUGCUUACAAACAAAUGAUGAUGCAUAUGUAUGUGUGGGUAGUGAUAACAUCUCGCCUUGCACUUGUGUUCGAUUUAAAUUCCCGCACAGUUACCUGCUAAUUAUGCACCUGCUCUAAUAGCUAUAUUAUAUUGUUUUGCUAUUAAGUUAACUAAAAAAAACAUGUGUAUAUAUCAUAUAUUCGCUCUUAAAACUCAAUAUGGAAGGGAUAGUUUUUGCUUUUGACGGCAUGCUCCAUUUUGAUAAGACGCUCGCCCGUGUUGUAUGUGUCCAGGAUCGCGUGAUCCCCAGCAUCCAGUUUGAAGUCGAAGAUGUUGAAGUUCUCUUCAAUACGUUUUGGAUUGGAUGACUUUGGCAGCGGCACGGUUCCAAUUUCGAUCUAUAAUUAAAUGGAUGUUAAUCGAAA